AACGAACGCUGGCGGCAGGCCUAACACAUGCAAGUCGAGCGAGGACUUCGGUCCUUUCGGCGGCCGGCGUAGUAACGCGUGGGAACGUUCACUUUGCUUCGACCUACCUCUGGGAAACUGGGAGUAAUGCCGGAUGGGCCCUUAGGGGGAAAGAUUUAUUGGGGAAGGAUGGGCCCGCGUUGGAUUAGGUGGUUGGUGGGGUAAUGGCCUACUAGGCCGACGAUUCAUAGCUGGUUUGAGAGGAUGAUCAGCCACACUGGGACUGAGACACGGCCCAGACUCCUACGGGAGGGAGCAGUGGGGAAUCGUAGACAAUGGGGGAAACCCUGAUCGAGCCAUGCCGCGUAAGCGAUGAAGGCCGUAGGGUUGUAAUGCUCUUUCAGCUGGGAAGAUAAUGACGGUACCAGCAGAAGAAGCCCCGGCUAACUCCGUG
rnacentral:rRNA from 1 species